GCCGAUGACGACCCUUCCCCUCCCUGAGAUGUGAUGAGAACCCGGUAGACGGAGGC
rnacentral:snoRNA from 1 species